UACGUAGGGGGCUAGCGUUGUCCGGAUUUAUUGGGCGUAAAGAGCGUGUAGGCGGCCAGGUAGGUCUGCUGUGAAAACUCGAGGCUCAACCUCGAGCUGUCGGCGGAAACCAUCUGGCUAGAGUCCGGAAGAGGAGAGUGGAAUUCCUGGUGUAGCGGUGAAAUGCGCAGAUAUCAGGAAGAACACCCGUGGCGAAAGCGGCUCUCUGGAACGGUACUGACGCUGAGACGCGAAAGCGUGGGGAGCGAACAGG
rnacentral:rRNA from 1 species